rnacentral:rRNA from 1 species
CAGUCGCCACGGUAAUACGUAGGUGGCAAGCGUUGUCCGGAAUUAUUGGGCGUAAAGGGCUCGCAGGCGGUUUCUUAAGUCUGAUGUGAAAGCCCCCGGCUCAACCGGGGAGGGUCAUUGGAAACUGGGAAACUUGGGUGCAGAAGAGGAGAGUGGAAUUCCACGUGUAGCGGUGAAAUGCGUAGAGAUGUGGAGGAACACCAGUGGCGAAGGCGACUCUCUGGUCUGUAACUGACGCUGAGGAGCGAAAGCGUGGGGAGCGAACAGGAUUAGAUACCCGGGUAGUCCCUGUCUCUUAUAC